rnacentral:rRNA from 1 species
GACAGAGGUGCCGAGCGUUAGGCGGAAUCACUGGGCUUAAAGCGUGUGUAGGCGGUCUUCUAAGUACCUUGUGAAAUCCCACAGCUCAACUGUGGAACUGCUCGGUAUACUGGUUGUCUUGAGCCACUUAGGGGCAGUCGGAACAGACGGUGGAGCGGUGAAAUGCGUAGAUAUCAGGAGGAACACCAAUGGCGAAGGCAGCUCGCUGGGACGUGACUGACGCUGAGACGCGAAAGCGUGGGGAGCAAACAGG